CGGACGGGUGAGUAAUGUCUGGGAAACUGCCCGAUGGAGGGGGAUAACUACUGGAAACGGUAGCUAAUACCGCAUAACGUCGCGAGACCAAAGAGGGGGACCUUCGGGCCUCUUGCCAUCGGAUGUGCCCAGAUGGGAUUAGCUAGUAGGUGGGGUAACGGCUCACCUAGGCGACGAUCCCUAGCUGGUCUGAGAGGAUGACCAGCCACACUGGAACUGAGACACGGUCCAG
rnacentral:rRNA from 1 species